rnacentral:lncRNA from 1 species
GUUUGCGGCGAACUGGAGUCUCUGCCGCAGGCAUACGCGUGACAGGCAUAUGUUGUCGAUGUGCUGUAUGUCGACGAAGUACCGGUUCCCUAAUUCUUCUGCUUUUCAUGUGUCUUGGGAGGGCCAAACCCCCGUAACGACCGGGACUGAGAUGCGGUUGCGUGUUUUCUCAAUUCCUCCAUCCCAGCUACCUCAUUGUGCGAGAUACCAUGUUCGUCCCGAACGCGUCUGAAGAAGUUUUACGCGGAACAUCUUAAAAUCGUAUAAGGAGCACCUCGUGGCCAAGCGUCUCUGAUGCCUAACGUCGUAGUUGUUCAAUACGGCAGCUUUUCUAUGCAGCGUAUGCGAGACGAGGUCCAUCGUCUCCGUGUAAUUCGGCGUCCCGCGGGCUCGCCGACAUUCCUUCAGCUGUAGUAACGUCGGGUUGCGAUACUUCACCGACCAAUGUGGACCUGCCGACUUCUGCCGUGAUUGGUUUCAGCAGGGCCGGUGAAUCCUGUACAGUGUGACUGGUACUUCGCUGACGUUCCACCAUCCCGCUGGCGUGAUCAGCGGGGCUACCCUCCAGCCUGUCGUGAUCUACUAUUUCUUCGUCAGAGUUAUCCUCCACAGAAGAAGACCUGUCAAAAUGCAGAUGGGAGUUCACUUCCUUAAGGACCAAUCUCGAGCGCUCGAACGCCGGCAUCGGCCCCUGCGUCGCCGGUGGCUCAUUGAUCGCGUCGCCAGCAUGAGAUUGCAGCUCACCCUGGUGGAGAGGCCAUCCAAAGAGACAAAAAAAAACUUUUUUUUGCCUCUGAUAAUUUCAUGACCAGCUUGAGUGCUUGUCUUUCAACAAAGACACACAUACACCGCAAAAGUCUCUCGGACACGGUAUUCCUUGAGUGUACCCUAACAGUAUUUCCCCGUGAUUACCUUGGGACAUCUUCAGUGGAGAGAGACCAUGGAGUAUCACUUGUUCAACUUACGGUGUGGCAUUUUGCGUCUUGCUCGCUAUUUUCACAAGAUGGAAAGGCAUAAGCUACAAUCCUGAUCAGGCCGUAUCGAUGCUUCAGAUAGCCACGUUUACUGGGUAACGAUUGUGAAUCACAGACGUAUUUUAGUGAGUGUGAAGAUGCCAGCUUUCUUGCAGCUGGAAUGCGGAGAUAUUUGGGACCACG